UACAGAGGUCUCAAGCGUUGUUCGGAUUCAUUGGGCGUAAAGGGUGCGUAGGCGGCGCGGUAAGUCGGGUGUGAAAUUUCGAGGCUUAACUUCGAAACUGCAUUCGAUACUGCCGUGCUAGAGGACUGGAGAGGAGACUGGAAUUUACGGUGUAGCGGUGAAAUGCGUAGAUAUCGUAAGGAAGACCAGUGGCGAAGGCGGGUCGAUCUGGACAGUUCCUGACGCUGAGGCACGAAGGCCAGGGGAGCAAACGGG
rnacentral:rRNA from 1 species